GCAAGUCGAGGGGUAACAGGGAGCUUGCUCUGCUGACUACCGGCGCACGGGUGCGUAACGCGUUUUCAACCUACCUUCUACCGGGGGAUAGUCAUUAUACAUGUUGAAUAAUACCCCAUACGAUCUUUUUCUGGCAUUACUUAAAGAGGAAAGAUUCGGCGGUAGAAGAUGGGCAUGCGUCCUAUUAGUGAGUUGGUGAGGUAACGGCUCACCAAGACCGCGAGAGGUAGGGGGCCUGAGAGGGGGAUC
rnacentral:rRNA from 1 species